AGCUGGUGCCUGUGAUUGGAAAAGUCAGCAAGAGUGGUGGAAUCAAAGAGGUCCAAGCAUGUCUCAAAUCAAUGCGACUCACUCACUACCUUUGUGUCCGAGACAAUACCAGAGAGGGUGUCGAUGCAGUUAGCGUAGCUUCUGAGUAAAGCCCCGAGCUCGAGUGAAAGCAUACCAAGGAUUCUUCGGUAGACAUGGAAUCAAGAACGCUUCGGUAUCCUACCAGUUUCUCCUUAGAAGCUUCCUUCUUCAUGUCAUCUGCAUCAUCCCGGAGAAUGAGGCUGUGAAGCUCGUUUCCCGCCCAAACAGGGCAGCAGAAGAUGCUGGUGACAACGCAGAUGGAGGUGCCAAUCGCAACAUUGGACAGUCUGUGUUGUGCGAAGUCAAACAAGUCUGGCAUGCGAUAUCCAGA